GCCGGCCCUGUGAAUAAUGUACACAAACGAUAUCCUACAAGCUAAGGGUUGAAUUAUAUUCGCGAAAGGCUAAUUACAAUGGAAAAUGCGAUUGUGAAUUGAUCUGGAGAAGCUAUAGAUUAUUAAUUAUGGAUAGGGCAGAGAAGAAUUUUGAUGUAUGGAUAUGUACAAUAUAUGUUUCUGAUGUGGUCACCGGCGCAAAGAGAUAGGUUUCUUUUGUUUUUGGCUAAUGAGAUGAACCCGAAAUCCUGGACAAAAUGUUAAUCUCCAUUAAGAUAAGCUUUUUAUAUUUUCA